CUGCCCUCAGGCGCUGGAGUGGUGGGAGGCAGAGCAGCUCCCAGAGCAGGACUGAGCUGAGGCUGAAGGACCUGGGUGGAGGCAGGCAGGACAGUGGCUACAGCAAGGACAUCUGGAGAAUGGAGACAGGACCUUCCUGAGGGCACUGAGGUGUGACAGUCAGGAUGCCAGGGCACUGCAGAGGCACAGUGACCCGGGUGGAUGGCAGUGCAUUAACAGGAGCCCUGUGGUCCUGGCAAGGGAGCUCUGGCUUUGCUAGGGUGGUGACUGGUGUGGGGGUGGUGGGGUGAGUGUAGAAGACACCCAGGUUGUCCCGGGAACAGGCAUCCUGUCCUGGGCAGCCUGGGACCCGGGCAGCUGCAGCCCCUCCCUGGCCUCGGCUCCCUGCUGGCAGAAGGCUGUGGCUGGUCUGGACCCCAUGUGGAGCAGUGUUGUGUCUGGAGCUACUGACUCCUCCCUCCCUGAGUCCCCACCCUCGGGCCAUGUGUCCUUCUCCUCCAGAAUGGAAGCGCAGGGCUCUGGCUCCCAGACAGCAUGGUGGCCUUCGUGGGCAGGAGCGCCCCUCACCAGGGGCCCGGGGCUGGCCUCUUCCCUGAGCUGGAGGGGCUGUGCGCUGUAGAUCACAGGGACAGUGAGGUGUCACCUCUCACCACAGCGGACCCUAAAGUUGUCUGUGACCCUCCAUCCGGGUCUCAUUCCACUCCAGCCACCACAGAACUGCCUCCAGAACAGCCCCCCAGCCCUCAGCCAGGCCCACCAGCCACCCAAGGCCGGCCUGAGGACCAGCUCGCCACCUUCGACUUCAAUGGCCCCUACCUUGGGUCGCCACACAGCUGCUCCCUGCCUGACCUCGCCGGCCGCGUGCACCCCCACAGGGGCCCAAGCCAGCCCUGCCAGGCCCCCUGGAGUACCUGUGUCUGCCCCUCAGGGGGCAGGUGCAGCUGGUGCCUCUGGCCCAGGUCACAGGGCAGGGACAGGCUGCCCAUGAGGAAUGUCUGCCUGAGCCUGGCACCCAGGCCAGCCCCUUCCUGGAAGCUGGGGGAGGCCCUGCCCCUCCUGCAUCUGAGCCCAGGGGCCAGGCACAGGACCCAGAGGUCAGCCCAGUUGUUCUUCCCAUAA
rnacentral:lncRNA from 1 species